rnacentral:rRNA from 1 species
UACGGAGGGUGCAAACGUUGCUCGGAAUCACUGGGCGUAAAGGGCGUGUAGGCGGGAAUGUAAGUCGGGCGUGAAAGCCCCAGGCUCAACCUGGGAACUGCACUCGAAACUGCGUUUCUUGAGUAUCGGAGAGGAAAGCGGAAUACCUGGUGUAGAGGUGAAAUUCGUAGAUAUCAGGUGGAACACCAGUGGCGAAGGCGGCUUUCUGGACGAUUACUGACGCUGAGACGCGAAAGCGUGGGGAGCAAACAGG